rnacentral:rRNA from 1 species
UACGUAGGUGGCAAGCGUUGUCCGGAUUUACUGGGCGUAAAGAGCGCGCAGGCGGUCGUGCAAGUCGCGUGUGAAAGCCCCCGGCUCAACUGGGGAGGGUCACGCGAUACUGCUCGACUCGAAGGCAGGAGAGGGAAAUGGAAUUCCCGGUGUAGUGGUGAAAUGCGUAGAUAUCGGGAGGAACACCAGUGGCGAAGGCGACUUCCUGGCCUGUUCUUGACGCUGAGGCGCGAAAGCUAGGGUAGCAAACGGG